ACGAGACUCUCCCCUGCUAACUAGUCGGUUGGAUCUUGAUCAGUGGGUUGAGUGCCGAGUAACUCUCGCUGUGCGUGUUGUAUGUCGCGUUCCUCACGGUUCGUUGCGUGCUCAUGUGUGGCGUUGGAUGCCUUGGAUCACACUGCACCCCAAGUCCGCCGCUUUGCUAUAACUCUUCUUAGAGGGAUUCACGGCACUGAAGCCGUAAGAGACUGAGAGCAAUAACAGGUCUGUGAUGCCCUUAGAUGCUCUGGGCCGCACGCGCGCUACAAUGCCGGGCACAGCAGGUGUUUCUCCUGCUCCGACAGGAGCGGGUAACCCUCUGAAAGCCAGUGUUCUUGCAAGUGCUUCCUCCUUCGUGGAGUUGCACAGAGGCGUGCUUGGGCCUGGGACUUGCAAUUCUUUCCCACCAACGAGGAAUGCCUAGUAGCGGCGGGUCACUGAGCCCGCUGUGACUCAGUCCCUGCCCUUUGUACACACCGCCCGUCGCUACUACCGAUUGGGUGUACCAGUGAGAGCCUUGGACUGGCGUCCGUUGUUGCUCGCAAGAGUGACAAGCGGGUCCGACGGAAAGAGGUCCGAA
rnacentral:rRNA from 1 species